AUUGAACGCUGGCGGCAGGCCUAACACAUGCAAGUCGAACGGUAACAGGAAACAGCUUGCUGUUUCGCUGACGAGUGGCGGACGGGUGAGUAAUGUCUGGGAAACUGCCUGAUGGAGGGGGAUAACUACUGGAAACGGUAGCUAAUACCGCAUAACGUCGCAAGACCAAAGAGGGGGACCUUCGGGCCUCUUGCCAUCGGAUGUGCCCAGAUGGGAUUAGCUAGUAGGUGGGGUAACGGCUCACCUAGGCGACGAUCCCUAGCUGGUCUGAGAGGAUAACCAGCCACACUGGAACUGAGACACGGUCCAGACUCCUACGGGAGGCAGCAGUGGGGAAUAUUGCACAAUGGGAGCAAGCCUGAUGCAGCCAUGCCGCGUGUAUGAAGAAGGCCUUCGGGUUGUAAAGUACUUUCAGCGGGGAGGAAGGGAGUAAAGUUAAUACCUUUACUCAUUGACGUUACCCGCAGAAGAAGCACCGGCUAACUCCGUGCCAGCCGCCGCAGUAA
rnacentral:rRNA from 1 species